CAGUAGCCGCGGUAAUACAGAGGGUGCGAGCGUUAAUCGGAUUUACUGGGCGUAAAGCGUGCGUAGGCGGCUUCUUAAGUCGGAUGUGAAAUCCCUGAGCUUAACUUAGGAAUUGCAUUCGAUACUGGGAAGCUAGAGUAUGGGAGAGGAUGGUAGAAUUCCAGGUGUAGCGGUGAAAUGCGUAGAGAUCUGGAGGAAUACCGAUGGCGAAGGCAGCCAUCUGGCCUAAUACUGACGCUGAGGUACGAAAGCAUGGGGAGCAAACAGGAUUAGAGACCCCUGUAGUCCCCUGUCUCUUAUA
rnacentral:rRNA from 1 species